UCACUUCCAUGCUGACUGACAGGCUAGCUGCCUUCAGCAGACGUAUUUGUCCAUUGCUACUGAUAUACCUGAUAUGUCCAGAAAUUCCUUUUCAUUUGUGGUUUACUAGAAUUUUUCAACAAAAAGUAAUACAUGUUCUAGCAUGACAAAGGAUGGCUCUGAAAUUACUAUGCAAUGUGUAGGCUGCUACUUAUUAGAGAGUACUAGGGAGAGUAUAUGAUAGUGGUUCUAUACAAUACAGAAUGAGAGACAUAACUGGUGAAUUCAUUUUACUUAGCUUUACUGUAAGAGUGAAGUGAUGGGAAAUUUAUUAUUGCACUACCAUUCUCACUAAGAUAGUUAAUGAUCCGUCGGGAUCGCCUUAAUAAAUCUCUCUUUCAGGGGUUGAUUACUGUAACAAUAAUUCACUCCAGAAUGAAACUUGCAUAUUUGAUCAUUGCCCGGAAACGUAAAUGCUUUACCAAUUUUGAAAAAUAAAAUUGUUUUUACUUUGGACUUUUAUCUCUUUGUAAAGACCCAGCAUGGUCUUUACUCUCUGAUCAAAAGAUUUCUCUACGUAUGAUUUUAAUUUCUCCCUUGUACGUCUAUUGAAACUAGGGUGGGUACGCUUAUGAUUUUAUGUAGCAUCAGAAAACUGCAUUGAUGAGGAAGAAUUCUGGUUCACUGGUGUUUCUCUCUCUCUCUUCAUAUGUGCUCCUUGAAGGAAGAAUAUUAUUCCUGGUCAAUAAUAAGUAAUACUGCAGAAAUCUGAGCUGAGUCUGAUGGCACCCUGCAACAUAUAUAUGAUUAUGCAGCCUGUGUGAUAUUUUGGGAAGUAGACCUGCACAAUGUGGCAUCCUGCUGGUUACUGCUACAACACCAGCCUUCUCACCACCUUCUCUCUGUCAAGUUUUCUCCUCCCAAACUGACUCAGAAGGUGUGCUCACACACAGGGCCAAUUCUUCAGAGAGCCUUCAACCCAGCCUCCAUUUGGGAGCAAUGUGCUAUGCAAUUUGAACACCAUUAUUUGUGCAUUCCAUUGUUUGCAUAGCUGUGUAUGCAAAAGCAGAAAGCAUUUUUUGAAGAUUUCACCCACAAGGUAAGUAAUACUCUGACUGCUGAAUCACAUCUUUCUUUUUUUUUUUAAAUGCAGUAGGAAAUCAAAUGCCAGCUUGGCAUUAAACAAAAGGGUCAUAGAUUGGGCCUGGUAAAGUAAUACAAACAAUACUACUUCCUGACUUUGUUUUUUAAAAGCAACUUUAUAGCUAAACAGUAACUUUAGAAGAAAAACAAAACAAGAUUCCUAGUGACUUUAUAUCUUGGAAGGAACUUGAGAAAAAAAAAAUCUAAUCUUUCCCCCCAAAACUUUGUCCAUAAGUGGGUGAAAUGGGAUUUAGAAUCUGAAUGUAGAUUUGGCUAUGAUUACAAGUGGUCACUACCUCUAUAAUGGGCUGAAUCAAAACCCAACUCCAAAUACGGUUUUGAAAUUCAAAUUUGGUGGCUUGGGCUGGUCUCUAGUGAUAAUAUUUCAUAGAAUCAUAAAAUCAUAGAACUGGAAGGAAGGUCAUCUAGUCCAGUCUCCUGCACCCAAGGCAGGGCUAAGUAUUAUCUAGACAAUCCCUGACAGGUGUUUGUCCAACCUGCUCUUAAAAAUCCCCAAUGAUGGAGAUUCCACCACCUCCCUAGGCAAUUUACUCCAGUGCUUAAUCACUCUGACUGUUAGGAAGUUUUUCCAAAUGUCCAACCUAAACUGCCCUUGCUGCAAUUUAAGCCCAUUGCUUCUUGUCCUAUCCUCAGAGGUUAAAAAGAACAUUUUUUCUCCCUCCUCCUUGUAACAGUUUUCAAGUACAUAAAAAGUUGGUAUGUCCCCUCUCAGUCUUCUCUUUUCCAGACUAAACAAUUUUUUCAAUCUUCCCUCAUAGGUUAUGUUUUCUAGACCUUUAAUCAUUUUUGUUGCUCUUCUCUGGACUUUCUCCAGU
ensembl:lncRNA